GGGCGUGUAGCUCAGCUGGGAGAGCAUCUGCUUUGCAAGCAGGGGGUCGCCGGUUCGAUCCCGGCCACGUCCACCA
rnacentral:tRNA from 1 species